UGUCCAUCCAGCUGGAAAAUUUGGUAAGUGAGGUUCCCUGGCCUGAGAGAAGUGAAGAUCCAGCCAUGAGAGGAGCUAGCCAGUGAAUCUGGCCCAUCUCAGUGAUAUUAAGCUUGAGGGCCAUUGUGAAUUGAAUUUCAUCUCUGGGAACUGAGAGGACCCUGGAUGAAGCAACUUAUUGUGUUUAAGGAACUUUGGUGAUGGCUGAAAACUGGAUACCAAUUUUCACAAAGUGGAUCAAUGUGGAUGCCCCAGAUAAUAGUCACUGCAGUACAGAACUUGAGCAACCUUCUAGAAUGGGUUACUAAAGAAGAUGCUAGUGCCUGGAAAGGGAGAUUUUGAGAGCCAAGUUGGAUUGGACCAUCCUCACUCUCUUUCCUCACAGGUUUAAUUGACUUGACCAUGAAUCAAUAAGGAAUGCUGUAGACAUAGUGGGCCUGGAUUUCAUGAGGCAGUUGAAAAUGUUUCCCAUGAGAUCCUCAUGGGAACUAAAUAAUAUGGCCUGAGGGAUAAGGAGAUUUAUGUGGCUUUCUAGUUAGCUGAACUGCCAGGGGUAAGGGGUGCUGGGAAAUGGUCCGUGUGUCAACCUGCCCAAGAUCUGGAAAGUGGUGUCCAGAAAACAUCGUCUGCCUCAUCUUAUUCAACAGGAACAUGGCUGGCAGGAGAUUUUAACCUCAUUUGACAUACUUUUUUUUUUAAAUGUAAGUGUGUUUUAAUGUUAAUGCGUAAAUGAAAAUUAACUGUUAAGAAAUUUAAUAUCCUUUUGAUCCCUCCCCAUUCUUGCCAAGAUAAACUCCAAUCAUGUAAGUUUCCUAUGCUUGAUUGAUUGCAAAAUGGCUACAAUUAUUCAUCCCUUCCUAUAUAGAGAGACUUUGCAAUAAGACUUUGUAGCACCUGCCAUCAAGAGGUAGUCUAUGCCCUUGUCCUUUGAAUCU
rnacentral:lncRNA from 10 species